GACAGAGGGUGCAAACGUUGCUCGGAAUUACUGGGCGUAAAGCGCGUGUAGGCGGACCGUUAAGUCAGGCGUGAAAGCCCGGGGCUCAACCCCGGAACUGCCUUUGAAACUAGAUUGCUAGAAUCCUGGAGAGGUUAGUGGAAUUCCGAGUGUAGAGGUGAAAUUCGUAGAUAUUCGGAAGAACACCAGUGGCGAAGGCGACUAACUGGACAGGUAUUGACGCUGAGGUGCGAAAGCGUGGGGAGCAAACAGG
rnacentral:rRNA from 1 species